AUAACUUUAGUAUAAGUAAAUAGAAAUCAAUGAAAUUUAAACACAAGGUUUAUGACCACAAAAGGAAGGAUGGGAUUGAUUUUGGGAGUUGAGGUCUGAACAGUUUAGGAAUUAGGGGCCAAAAAGGGGCCCAAGUAAGCAUUAUUCUUGGUUUUCGCACCAUAACUUUAGUAUAAGUAAAUAGAAAUCUUUGAAAUUCAAACACAAGGUUUAUGACCAUAAAAGGAAGGUUGGGUUUGAUUUUGGGAGUUUUGGUCCCAACAGGUUUUUUAGGAAUAAGGGGCCCAAAGGGUCCAAAAUUGAACUUUGUUUGAUUUCAUCAAAAUUGAAUAAUUGGGGUUCUUUGAUAUGCCGGAUCUAACUGUGUAUGUAGAUUCUUAAUUUUUGGUCCCGUUUUCCAAUUGGUCUACAUUAAGGUCCAAAGGGUCCAAAAUUAAACUUAGUUUGAUUUUAACAAAAAUUGAAUCCAUGGGUUUCUUUGAUAUGCUGAAUCUAAAAAUGUACUUAGAUUUUUUAUUAUUGGCCCAGUUUUCAAGUUGGUCCAAAUCGGGGUCCAAAAUUAAACUUUGUUUGAUUUCAUCAAAAAUUGAAUAAUUGG
rnacentral:lncRNA from 1 species